AGAGAUGUGUGAUGACGCAUAUCAAUAAGCGGAGGAAAAGAAACUAACAAGGAUUCCCUUAGUAACGGCGAGUGAAGCGGGAAGAGCUCAAAUUUGAAAUCUUCAAGGUUCUACCUUGACGAAUUGUAGUUUAUAGAAGUGUUUUCUGUUAGUAGAGUGGCAAAAGUUCUUUGGAAUAGGACAUCAUAGAGGGUGAGAAUCCCGUAUUUGGUCAUUCUUUCUAGCUUUGUGAUACACUUUCAACGAGUCGGAUUGUUUGGGAAUGCAGUCCAAAAUGGGUGGUAAAUUUCAUCUAAAGCUAAAUAUUGGCGAGAGACCGAUAGCGAACAAGUACCGUGAGGGAAAGAUGAAAAGAACUUUGAAAAGAGAGUUAAACAGUACGUGAAAUUGUCAAAAGGGAAGCGUUUGACACCAGUGUUGUUUUUCCGAAAAUCAAUUACGAAUGUUUUAUUUUUGAGAAGUUAUGACUUCAUCGGCUUGCUUCUCUCUUUAUGAAACUUUCUUAAUGCACUUUUCGGUUAACAAGUCAACAUCAAUUUCUUUUGUUGUAAAAGGGUAUGAGGAAGGUGGCUUUCUUUUCGGAGAAAGUGUUUAUAGCCUUGUACCUCUGCAAUCGGAGAGAUUGAGGUCUGCAGCGUAGAUCCUUCGGGGAUAGAUACAUUUGUGCUAAGUUAUAGCUUUUCAUAGACAACUUGUUGACUAUGUUUAGUCUUGUAGCUUACUUGCUUAUGCUAUUUUACCUACGCUUAGGAUGUUGAUCUGUAGUGCGUGCGC
rnacentral:rRNA from 1 species